AUACGUAGGGGGCGAGCGUUGUCCGGAAUGAUUGGGCGUAAAGGGCGCGUAGGCGGCCCGGUAAGUCUGGAGUGAAAGUCCUGUUUUUAAGAUGGGAAUUGCUUUGGAUACUGUCGGGCUUGAGUGCAGGAGAGGUAAGUGGAAUUCCCAGUGUAGCGGUGAAAUGCGUAGAGAUUGGGAGGAACACCAGUGGCGAAGGCGACUUACUGGACUGUAACUGACGCUGAGGCGCGAAAGUGUGGAGAGCAAACAGGAUUAGAUACCCUGGUAGUCCACACUGUAAACGAUGAAUGCUAGGUGUAGGGGGUAUCGACCCCUUCUGUGCCGCAGUCAACACAAUAAGCAUUCCGCCUGGGGAGUACGGCCGCAAGGUUGAACCUCAAAUGAAUUGACGGGG
rnacentral:rRNA from 1 species